rnacentral:misc_RNA from 1 species
UCUCCGUUGGUGAACCAGCGGAGGGAUCAUUACCGAGUUUACAACUCCCAAACCCCUAUGUGAACGUUACCAAACUGUUGCCUCGGCGGGAAAUUCAUGCCCCGGGCGCGUCGCAGCCCCGGACCAAGGCGUCCGCCGGAGGACCAACCAAAACUCUUUUGUAUGUCCCUCGCGGACUUUUAUAAUUCUGAACCAUCUCGGCGCCCCUAGCGGGCGUUUCGAAAAUGAAUCAAAACUUUCAACAACGGAUCUCUUGGUUCUG